GGUUAAGCGACUAAGCGUACACGGUGGAUGCCCUGGCAGUCAGAGGCGAUGAAGGACGUGCUAAUCUGCGAUAAGCGUCGGUGAGGUGAUAUGAACCGUUAUAACCGGCGAUUUCCGAAUGGGGAAACCCAGUGUGUUUCGACACACUAUCAUUAACUGAAUCCAUAGGUUAAUGAGGCGAACCGGGGGAACUGAAACAUCUAAGUACCCCGAGGAAAAGAAAUCAACCGAGAUUCCCCCAGUAGCGGCGAGCGAACGGGGAGGAGCCCAGAGCCUGAAUCAGUGUGUGUGUUAGUGGAAGCGUCUGGAAAGGCGUGCGAUACAGGGUGACAGCCCCGUACACAAAAAUGCACAUAUUGUGAGCUCGAUGAGUAGGGCGGGACACGUGGUAUCCUGUCUGAAUAUGGGGGGACCAUCCUCCAAGGCUAAAUACUCCUGACUGACCGAUAGUGAACCAGUACCGUGAGGGAAAGGCGAAAAGAACCCCGGCGAGGGGAGUGAAAAAGAACCUGAAACCGUGUACGUACAAGCAGUGGGAGCCUCUUAAUGGGGUGACUGCGUACCUUUUGUAUAAUGGGUCAGCGACUUAUAUUCUGUAGCAAGGUUAACCGAAUAGG
rnacentral:rRNA from 1 species